AGGAGGCAGCAGUGGGGAAUUUUGGACAAUGGGCGCAAGCCUGAUCCAGCCAUUCCGCGUGAGUGAAGAAGGCCUUCGGGUUGUAAAGCUCUUUCAGGAGGGAAGAAACGGUUGCAGCUAAUACCUGCGACUAAUGACGGUACCUUCAGAAGAAGCACCGGCUAACUACGUGCCAGCAGCCGCGGUAAUACGUAGGGUGCGAGCGUUAAUCGGAAUUACUGGGCGUAAAGCGUGCGCAGGCGGUUUUGUAAGUCAGAUGUGAAAGCCCCGGGCUCAACCUGGGAACUGCGUUUGAAACUACAAGGCUAGAGUGUAGCAGAGGGGGGUAGAAUUCCACGUGUAGCAGUGAAAUGCGUAGAGAUGUGGAGGAAUACCGAUGGCGAAGGCAGCCCCCUGGGUUAACACUGACGCUCAUGCACGAAAGCGUGGGGAGCAAACAGGAUUAGAUACCCCAGUAGUC
rnacentral:rRNA from 1 species